CUAAGGCUCAAAGGAGAAGAGUGACUUGAGCAGUGCCUGGCAUCAGGGUGCUUCUGUCCUCCAGCUCCAUGAGAAGUGAGAUUGGCCUGCCUCACCCAGCCCAGCAUAGAAUUAGUGGUCUGACACCCCACUAGCCUGCAGCACCCAGCAACAACAAACCCUUAGAAUCUCCAUUUCUUUUUUCUUUUUUGAAGAAUUUCCACUUCUUGAUGGACCACUUCAGUCCAACACAAACUUUGGACCCAGAGUGACUCAGUUUAAAACCUGUGUGUGCAUUUCUUACCUUGGAUCUUCCCAAUUAUCUGUGGCAAAGUGCAUGCAGGGUGAAGAACAGCACCGAGGAAAUGUAGAAUGGGAUUUCUGUCCUGCAAGGCCCAAACUGGAAGGGCUCACUCCACAGUCCCAACCAUCUGUAUAGCACGCCAGCCAACAAGAGAGGCUCCACGGCACUGAUACACAAAAUCUGUGAUGAGACACCACGCAAGAGGGUCACUCAAUCCCAGAAGGUGAGCAGUGAGCCUUGUGGGGCUGACCCAUUUCUCAGAGGCCUGAUGUGGUCCCAGGGUGAGUUCAGAAUGACCUGUGGGAUUGGCAUCUGCAGCAAAGAGGCUACAGGGAGAAAAUGGGAGAUUCUGGUCCUUCCUGGUGUCUUACAAUGUCCUGGCAAAGGGCUGGUUUCUCAGGCCAAGAACUUUUGUGUUUCUCCUGUCCUGUCCUGUCCUUUUCUGCUUUGCUUCUCCACAGCAACCCGCCUAGGACUUGAAUCCCAGCUCUGUUCCCCACUUGCUGGGAUGUGUGACUUUAGCCAUGUCACCUAACUCUCCCAGUCUCUGUGUCCACCACUGUAAAUAAGGAUAAUGCUGUCUCUUUG